CGAAUCGGGCAAGAGAGAGUCCGGUGUCUCUGAGUCCUUGAAUGAAUCUGGCGAGGGGAAAUAGAUUUGGCCGUGAUAUAUCGUUUCAGUCGUCCUUUUUCUGGUUGGCGAUCUGAUUGUUGCUCGUCCACAC